rnacentral:rRNA from 1 species
UGAAUACGAGAUGCUACGGCGUCGAAGCAGUCUAUGUCAUACUUCCAAGAAAAGCUUGCACUGUCAUAAACAAAUAAUGCCUGUACCAUAACCGACACAGGUGGGUAGGUAGAGUAUACUAAGGGGCGCGAGAUAACUCUCUCUAAGGAACUCGGCAAAAUGACUCCGUAACUUCGGGAGAAGGAGUGCCUUAUUUAUAAGGUUGCAAUAACAAGAUCCAAGCAACUGUUUACCAAAAACACAGGUCUCCGCUAAGUCGUAAGACGAUGUAUGGGGGCUGACGCCUGCCCAGUGCCAGAAGGUUAAAGAAGUUGGUUAGCAUCCGCGAAGCUGAUAACUGAAGCCCUGGUGAACGGCGGCCGUAACUAUAACGGUCCUAAGGUAGCGAAAUUCCUUGUCGGGUAAGUUCCGACCUGCACGAAAGGCGUAAUGAUUUGGAUACUGUCUCGGAGAGGGGCUCGGUGAAAUAGACUUGUCUGUGAAGAUGCGGACUACCUGCACCAGGACAGAAAGACCCUAUGAAGCUUUACUGUAACCUGAAAUUGAAAUUGGACUUUACUUGCGCAGUAUAGGUGGGAGGCGUUGAGAAUAUUCUUGCGGGAUUAUUGGAGCCAUCAGUGAGAUACCACUCUUGUAAUGUUAGAUUUCUAACUUUGUAUCAUUAUCUGGUCAAAGAACAGUUUCAGGCGGGCAGUUUGACUGGGGCGGUCGCCUCCUAAACGGUAACGGAGGCGCACAAAGGUUUCCUCUGAACGGGUAGAAAUCGUAUCUAGAGUGUAAAGGCAUAAGGAAGCUUGACUGUGAGACCUACAAGUCGAGCAGGGACGAAAGUCGGUCUUAGUGAUCUGACGGUGCUGAGUGGAAAGGCCGUCACUCAACGGAUAAAAGUUACUCUAAGGAUAACAGGCUGAUCUCCCCCAAGAGUUCACAUCGACGGGGAGGUUUGGCACCUCGAUGUCGGCUCAUCGCAUCCUGGGGCGGUAGUACGUCCCAAGGGUUGGGCUGUUCGCCCAUGAAAGCGGUACGCGAGCUGGGUUCAGAACGUCGUGAGACAGUUCGGUCCAUAUCCGGUGUAGGCGUUAGAAUAUUGAGAGGAGCCUUCUUUAGUACGAGAGGACCGAGAAGGACAUACCUCUGGUGUACCAGUUAUCGUGCCAACGGUAAACGCUGGGUAGCUAUGUGUGGAGUGGAUAACCGCUGAAAGCAUCUAAGUGGGAAGCCCACCUCAAGAUAAGUAUUCUC